GUUCAUUGCUGUCCUUUUGGGUGAAUAAAUACAAGCUUGAUACAUAAAUGUAACACGGAUGAUUUCUCAACAGGUUCUGAAAAACAAGAACCCACUAGCAAGGCAGUACUAAAGGAUGGCAAACCAGAGUUACUGCAAACUGAAGGACUGAUUGGUUUCACAUCCAAAGUGUCCACUUUUUUCCAGAAGGGGGAAAAAAAAUUACUUCUGGUAGCACUCAAGAUGGAAGGAAUAAGGAAAAGUACAAGCUUGGAAAAAGGCUGCACACAUUUACUGACCAAAGUAAGUCUUCCCUCCAGCCUGCCAUGCUUCAGACCUGUAGAUACUGCUUACACCCAGCAGGAUAUAAAGAGGAUUGGUAGGUUUUGAAAGUGUACUUCCUGCUUAUAACAACCGUGGAGCAACUUAGACCAGCAUUCAAACUGACAUUGAGAUGAGACCACUGAGAACAGAAGGAGCUUGGACUGGAUUUCAGUUUAGAUACUUCAGAUGGUACCUAAAGAUUGAUGUGAUAAACCUCAGAUUAAUUGUUCUAAUAAAGGUACAGAGACACCAGAACAACUAAUACAUACAUACGGGAAAGUUGCAAGUUUCUCAAGAAACAUUUGCAUGUCUGCAUCUUUCCAGCUACAACUGAUGAGGAAAAAAUCCCACGCUUGAAGUCAUCUGCACAUUCAGUGCUUAGUCUGUCGUUGGAAUGACUAAGAAGAUGAUUAUGGAGGAUUUUUUCACCUUUUUGUUUUGACUGCUAACAAUUACUAAGACUGGCAAAUGACUCUGCCUGAGAGGUUAGGUCAAAGUUUAUAGUUCAGAUGAACAAAAACUAACAAGCUGGAUUUUCCUUCACUGCCAGCCCACUCGUGUUGAGUUGUAUGAGCAGCAUUUUCUGUAUGAUGCACAGUAAUGCUGUUAUUUGGUUCCUCUGGUUUAGAAAUAAAAUAAUUCUAUCUGCACCUCUCUUCA